AACGAACGCUGGCGGCAUGCCUAACACAUGCAAGUCGAACGAGACCUUCGGGUCUAGUGGCGCACGGGUGCGUAACGCGUGGUAACCUGCCCUUAGGUUCGGAAUAACUCCCCGAAAGGGGUGCUAAUACCGGAUAAUGUCUUCGGACCAAAGAUUUAUCGCCUUUGGAUGGGCCCGCGUUGGAUUAGCUAGUUGGUAGGGUAAAAGCCUACCAAGGCGACGAUCCAUAGCUGGUCUGAGAGGAUGAUCAGCCACACUGGGACUGAGACACGGCCCAGACUCCUACGGGAGGCAGCAGUGGGGAAUAUUGGACAAUGGGCGAAAGCCUGAUCCAGCAAUGCCGCGUGAGUGAUGAAGGCCUUAGGGUUGCAAAGCUCUUUUACCCGGGAUGAUAAUGACAGUACCGGGAGAAUAAGCUCCGGCUAACUCCGUG
rnacentral:rRNA from 1 species